rnacentral:lncRNA from 1 species
AUAAUUUCACUUAUUCGAUUUUCCCAAUGAACACUUCGGAAUGAUAACAGAUACAUGGUGGUUCCCCACAUAGCACCACCCUUAUGAUCAAUGCUAUCCGGUACACAUAGUAGCCUACACUUAGUACUACACAUGUGACCAAUACCAUCCAGCACACGUAGUAGCCUGCACAUAGUACUACACAUGUGAUCAAAGCUAUCCAGUACACAUAGUAGCCUGCACUUAGUACUACACAUGUGACCAUAACUAUCUUAUACUCAUAGUAGCCUACACAUAGUACUACACAUGAGUUCUCAUGACGUCCUUCGUAUCCUUUCCUAUUCCGAAAGUUCAACCAGAAAAUUUCUCACUUAUUCUCACUUUGUCAAUUUCAUCCAUAGUCAAUCUCAAUUCCUAAUUUACAUCAAAUAAUCAUUUAAUAUACAACCAUAUCUCGUGUAAUAUAACAAAAUAUUAUAACAUAAGUAAAAAUGGUAUAUUAUUUACAUACAAACUUACCUCGACACCAAAAGGGCAAAAAGGGACAUAACCGUCAAUUCUCGUUUUUCCCCUAUUCUAGGUCUGAACCUCGUUUUCUUUGAUCUAUGUUAUCACAUUUAGCCUAAUUAUUAGUCACAUUAUUCAAAUUAGUCCACAAUUCAUGCUUUGACAAAAUUACGAUUCUUCCCCUAAACUUUCACAUAUUUACAAAUUAGUCCUUGGGCUCGUAAAACGAAAUUUAUGGAAUUUCAUCCACAUCAAAGACUAACCGAAUUAUUUAGGUGCUCAUAGAAGCCCAUAUAAUCCCCAAUUUCACUCAUAUAACUCAAAAUCUUCAUACUUUACAAAUUAACCCUUAAUAGCAUUUUACAACAAAAAUCACUUAACAAGAAAUGUUCAACACACAACAAGGUUUCAUUUUCCUCCAUUAAACUUCACAAUCAACUAUCAUGCUUUCAUGGCCCAAAACCCUAGCCUUUCAAUCAUCUUGCAAAUUAGUCCCCUAUUUAGCUAGCUUAAGCUUCAAGGUUUCCAAAAACAUAUAAAUCAACAAAAACAAACAUAAAUUUCACUUACAUGCAAGGGUUUAAGUUUGCUGAAAAUUUGAGUUCUCCAAUGGCUAUUCUCUUGGUGGAAAAC